AGAACAACUUUAUUAAAAUGGCAAAAACUUUAACCUAUCACAUUCGCUUCCACCAAAACUCGAGUGACACACCAAAGACCUACCUAAACUGCGACGGCAAUGCUAUCACUGCGCCUUCAAAUGAUUUCAGUAUAAGUGUUCUCCAGAAUGUGGUUUCCCUCUUCGGCAAGGAACCAGAGAUGACAAUCACCAAACUAUGAAGACAUCUGAACUUAACCUUACGACAACUCACACACAUACACACACACUAUGAAGACAGUGCUCCAGCAUGGCCUCAGCCAUGACCUCUGAAGACAAAAAAAACUAAAGAACAAAAAACAGAUUUUAACAAAUAACAAGUACAAGAAUGGUGGUGGAGAUUGCGGUGGCAGUGACAACAAGGAUGAUGAUGAUGACGACAUUGAUGAUGAUGAUGAUGAUGAUGAUGGUGAUGACGAUGAUGAUGGUGAUGACGAUGAUGAUGAUGAUGAUGAUGAUGAUGAUGAUGAUGUGAGGAUGAUGAUGGUGAUGACGAUGGUGAUGACGAGGAUGAUGAUGGUGAUGACGAUGGUGAUGACGAGGAUGAUGAUGGUGAUGACGAUGGUGAUGACGAGGAUGAUGAUGGUGAUGACGAUGGUGAUGACGAGGAUGAUGAUGGUGAUGACGAUGGUGAUGACAAGGAUGAUGAUGAUGGUGAUGAUGAUGAUGAUGAUGAUGAUGAUGGUGAUGGUGAUGACGAUGGUGAUGACGAGGAUGAUGAUGAUGGUGAUGAUGAUGAUGAUGAUGAUGAUGAUGAUGAUGAUGAUGAUGAUGAUGAUGAUGAUGAUGAUGAUGAUGGUGAUGGUGAUGACGAGGAUGAUGAUAUAAUCAAUAAAGAAAUUUUAGUAUAAA